rnacentral:rRNA from 1 species
AGAGGUYCCAAGCGUUGUUCGGAUUCACUGGGCGUAAAGGGUGCGUAGGUGGCCGUGGAAGUUCAGUGUGAAAGCUCGGAGCUUAACUCCGAAAAGUCAUUGAAUACUCUACGGCUGGAGGGUCGGAGGGGAGACUGGAAUUCUCGGUGUAGCAGUGAAAUGCGUAGAUAUCGAGAGGAACACCAGUGGCGAAGGCGAGUCUCUGGACGACACCUGACACUGAGGCACGAAAGCUAGGGGAGCAAACAGGAUUAGAUACCCCUGGUAGUCCUAGCUGUAAACGGUGCACGUUUGCUGUAAGAGGAAUCGACCCCUUUUUGUGGCGRAAGCUAACGCGCUAAACGUGCCGCYUGGGGGAGUACSGGUCGCMAGAUUA